rnacentral:lncRNA from 1 species
ACUCUGGUAGAUAGAUCCCUAUUUCAAAAAUGAGUGAAUUAGGGUUCAGGGAAGUGAAACCUGUGUGCCGGCUGGGGACUGACAGUUGGAACCCCAAUGUACAAAUGAAACCAGGGAACAGUGGGUGUGACGAGCACUUGAGGAGCGACAGAGAGUUAUGACCUCGAACCCACAAGUGAGACUGCAAACACAAGUAAGGACUUCGUGACCAAAAACUCAAAAGCAAAUGCAACAAAAACAAAGAUAAAUAGAUGGGACUUAAUUAAACUAAAAAGCUUCUGCACAGCAAAAGAAAUAAUCAGCAGAGUAAACAGGCAACCAUGGAGUGGGAUAAAUCUUCACAACCUAGACAUCUGACAAAAGACUAAUAUCCAGAAUCUACAAGGAACUCAAACAAAUCAGCAAGAAGAAAACCAAACAAUCCCAUCAAAAAGUGGGCUAAUGACAUGAAUAGACAAUUCUCAAAAGAAGAUACACAAAUGUCCA